GUCGGGUCUUAAUUAAACGUUUCAAGACACGCUUCUUUGUGGACGCGUGUUGAUAGGGCAUUGGAGAUGUGAUUUUGGUCGGUGAAGAAAACUUCAACCCGACGAAGGAUGUGUUCUCUCUUCCCCGAAGUCGACGAUGACCACACUACCAUACGCCGACGUCGAUUGCAACCUCAGAGCUUUAACCGGCCGCGCCGAGGGUUUCGGCCGCUUCGCCGCCGGUGGUCUCCACGGCGAUCUCUGCGUCGUCACCUCUCUCGUAGGUUUGACCGACAAUCGUUGAACAUAUCUAGUCUAUUGAUUGUGUGAUGAUGGACCUGGAUCUCUCCUCGAAGGAGGUAGGAGGAAAGAGCCGUUAUGGAUUCUCUAAUCCUCUCUGUCUUGGCGCGCUCUCUCUCUCUCUGUCUCUCCAUAGUUCCGUAAAACUUCUUACUUUCACAGUUUGUGUCUGUGCGAUAAUGGCCAUGUCUGAGCUUUCAACCCCCAAAACGACGUCGCCUUUCCUCCGCUCUUCGUCUCAGCUUCGCCUCUCCUCCAAGUUGCAUCUUUCAAACCAGUUUCGCCAUCUUCUUCUUCCUCCACCUCUCCACACAACUUCCAUCUCCAAAUCUCUUGCUCUGUUUUCUCAGAAUAGCCAAGCACCUGUCGCGGUUCAAGAAAAUGGGUCGAUGAAGACGAAGAAAGAGUGUUAUGGAGUGUUCUGCCUCACCUAUGACCUCAAAGCUAGGAGGAGACUUAAUCAUGGAAGAAGAUGAUCAAUAUCGCAGUCUCAGGUGCUGCAGGCAUGAUUUCAAACCACCUUCUCUUCAAACUUGCUUCAGGUUCAGUGUUAGGACCAAACCAGCCCAUUGCUUUGAAACUUCUUGGAUCAGAGAGAUCAAUCCAAGCCCUCGAAGGUGUUGCAAUGGAGCUGGAGGAUUCCUUGUUCCCCUUGUUGAGAGAAGUUGAUAUAGGAACAUAUCCAUAUGAAGUGUUUCAAGAUGUGGACUGGGCUCUUCUGAUUGGUGCAAAGCCUCGAGGACCUGGAAUGGAACGUGCUGCUUUGUUCUGACCAAAUAUAACGUAU